CCUACGGGAGGCAGCAGUGAGGAAUAUUGGACAAUGGGCGCAAGCCUGAUCCAGCCAUGCCGCGUGCAGGAUGACGGUCCUAUGGAUUGUAAACUGCUUUUAUACGAGAAGAAACACCCCUACGUGUAGGGACUUGACGGUAUCGUAAGAAUAAGGAUCGGCUAACUCCGUGCCAGCAGCCGCGGUAAUACGGAGGAUCCAAGCGUUAUCCGGAAUCAUUGGGUUUAAAGGGUCCGUAGGCGGUUUAGUAAGUCAGUGGUGAAAUCUCCCCGCUCAACGGGGAAACGGCCAUUGAUACUGCUAGACUUGAAUUAUUAGGAAGUAACUAGAAUAUGUAGUGUAGCGGUGAAAUGCUUAGAGAUUACAUGGAAUACCAAUUGCGAAGGCAGGUUACUACUAAUGGAUUGACGCUGAUGGACGAAAGCGUGGGUAGCGAACAGGAUUAGAUACCCUGGUAGUCCACGCCGUAAACGAUGGAUACUAGCUGUUGGAAGCAAUUUCAGUGGCUAAGCGAAAGUGAUAAGUAUCCCACCUGGGGAGUACGUUCGCAAGAAUGAAACUUAAAGGAAUUGACGGNUGAGAGNGCGAGACGACGACGAGGAGAGG
rnacentral:rRNA from 1 species